UGGGGAAUAUUGGGCAAUGGGGGAAACCCUGACCCAGCGACGCCGCGUGAGGGAAGAAGGCCUUAGGGUCGUAAACCUCUGUUGUGUGGGAAGAAGAGCGUGACGGUACCACACGAGGAAGUCCCGGCUAACUACGUGCCAGCAGCCGCGGUAAUACGUAGGGGACGAGCGUUGUCCGGAUUUACUGGGCGUAAAGGGCGCGUAGGCGGUCAUUUAAGUCAGCUGGGAAAUCCCACGGCUCAACCAUGGAACUGCAUCUGAUACUGAUGAAAUUGAAUACGAAAGAGGUAAGCGGAAUUCCAGAAGUAAGGGUGAAAUCUGUAGAUAUCUGGAGGAACACCAUUAGCGAAGGCGGCUUACUGGUUCGAUAUUGACGCUGAAAUGUGAAAGCUAGGGGAGCAAACA
rnacentral:rRNA from 1 species